rnacentral:pre_miRNA from 1 species
CGGCUUCCGGGGCGCGGCCGGGGCGGGCUCCGCGGAUCGCAUCGGCGCGCCGAGCCUGCCCCUUCCGUCGCACCGGGGGUCC